AUUGAUUGGUGCUUGCAUCAUGAUUUACAUUUGAGUGAGUGGCGAACUGGUGAGUAACACGUGGGAAACCUGCCCAGAAGCGGGGGAUAACACCUGGAAACAGAUGCUAAUACCGCAUAACAACUUGGACCGCAUGGUCCGAGUUUGAAAGAUGGCUUCGGCUAUCACUUUUGGAUGGUCCCGCGGCGUAUUAGCUAGAUGGUGGGGUAACGGCUCACCAUGGCAAUGAUACGUAGCCGACCUGAGAGGGUAAUCGGCCACAUUGGGACUGAGACACGGCCCAAACUCCUACGGGAGGCAGCAGUAGGGAAUCUUCCACAAUGGACGAAAGUCUGAUGGAGCAACGCCGCGUGAGUGAAGAAGGGUUUCGGCUCGUAAAACUCUGUUGUUAAAGAAGAACAUAUCUGAGAGUAACUGUUCAGGUAUUGACGGUAUUUAACCAGAAAGCCACGGCUAACUACGUGCCAGCAGCCGCGGUAAUACGUAGGUGGCAAGCGUUGUCCGGAUUUAUUGGGCGUAAAGCGAGCGCAGGCGGUUUUUUAAGUCUGAUGUGAAAGCCUUCGGCUCAACCGAAGAAGUGCAUCGGAAACUGGGAAACUUGAGUGCAGAAGAGGACAGUGGAACUCCAUGUGUAGCGGUGAAAUGCGUAGAUAUAUGGAAGAACACCAGUGGCGAAGGCGGCUGUCUGGUCUGUAACUGACGCUGAGGCUCGAAAGUAUGGGUAGCAAACAGGAUUAGAUACCCUGGUAGUCCAUACCGUAAACGAUGAAUGCUAAGUGUUGGAGGGUUUCCGCCCUUCAGUGCUGCAGCUAACGCAUUAAGCAUUCCGCCUGGGGAGUACGGCCGCAAGGCUGAAACUCAAAGGAAUUGACGGGGGCCCGCACAAGCGGUGGAGCAUGUGGUUUAAUUCGAAGCUACGCGAAGAACCUUACCAGGUCUUGACAUACUAUGCAAAUCUAAGAGAUUAGACGUUCCCUUCGGGGACAUGGAUACAGGUGGUGCAUGGUUGUCGUCAGCUCGUGUCGUGAGAUGUUGGGUUAAGUCCCGCAACGAGCGCAACCCUUAUUAUCAGUUGCCAGCAUUAAGUUGGGCACUCUGGUGAGACUGCCGGUGACAAACCGGAGGAAGGUGGGGAUGACGUCAAAUCAUCAUGCCCCUUAUGACCUGGGCUACACACGUGCUACAAUGGAUGGUACAACGAGUUGCGAACUCGCGAGAGUAAGCUAAUCUCUUAAAGCCAUUCUCAGUUCGGAUUGUAGGCUGCAACUCGCCUACAUGAAGUCGGAAUCGCUAGUAAUCGCGGAUCAGCAUGCCGCGGUGAAUACGUUCCCGGGCCUUGUACACACCGCCCGUCACACCAUGAGAGUUUGUAACACCCAAAGUCGGUGGG
rnacentral:rRNA from 2 species